rnacentral:rRNA from 1 species
UACGGAGGGUGCAAGCGUUAUCCGGAUUCACUGGGUUUAAAGGGUGCGUAGGUGGGCAGGUAAGUCAGUGGUGAAAUCUCCGAGCUUAACUCGGAAACUGCCGUUGAUACUAUUUGUCUUGAAUAUUGUGGAGGUAAGCGGAAUAUGUCAUGUAGCGGUGAAAUGCUUAGAUAUGACAUAGAACACCAAUUGCGAAGGCAGCUUACUACACAACGAUUGACGCUGAGCACGAAAGCGUGGGAUCAAACAGG